rnacentral:lncRNA from 1 species
GUAAUUAGGGACAGACUUAUUUACCGAGAGAUCGGGUUUAAGUGUUUUAGUGAUGGACGUUGGCAUUAAUGCAUAAAGAAGAAUUCUUAUAUACAUGAGAGGAAACUUGGUGAAAUUUAACCCCAACAACAUAUCCAUCUCAUAUUAAUCAACCUUCGUUCAUCUCUGUGCUCUUUUUCCACUAAUCAAUUUUAUUUUGCUUUAUUUUAUUAUUUUUGCAAUACCACCCCUAAUCUCAUUUAUUCUAAGUCUUAAUUAAUCUUGUUUUCACACAAGUGUUCAGCACCGAGAGUCCUCUGGGAUACGAUACUUGGUCUUACCAUUUUAUAUUACUUGUGCGACUCGGUACACUUGCCGAUUUGCCCCAACAGAUGCCUCUCC